GGCUACGAUGGGUAGGGGUUCUUAGUGGAAGAUCCCCCACACUGGCACUGAGAUACGGGCCAGACUCCUACGGGAGGCAGCAGUAGGGAAUAUUGGUCAAUGGGCGAAAGCCUGAACCAGCCAUGCCGCGUGCAGGAUGACAGCUCUCUGAGUUGUAAACUGCUUUUGUACAGGAGCAAAACAAUCCCUGCGGGGGUUCUUGAGAGUACUGUAAGAAUAAGCACCGGCUAAUUCCGUGCCAGCAGCCGCGGUAAUACGGAAGGUGCAAGCGUUAUCCGGUUUUAUUGGGUUUAAAGGGUGCGUAGGCGGCUUAUUAAGUCAGUUGUGAAAUCCUAGUGCUUAACGCUAGAACUGCAAUUGAUACUAUUAGGCUUGAGUUAA
rnacentral:rRNA from 1 species